rnacentral:lncRNA from 1 species
AGCAGCAGAUUUGUUUUAACACGAAGUAAAACAGAAAGGGCACUACUGAAAAAAAACAGAAUCCCGUCCGUCCUUUCAGGGGAAGGAAAUUGGCUUGCAAACCUCACUCUUCUCUCUGUUUGCCUCAGAUUCUACCUGUUUAGAUUUCAGACUGGCCCUGGAUCUUGGGCUACAAUAUAGGGUCCAUCAUCACCCUAAGAACAGAGAUGACAGGUUUAAGGGUGAUGCAGCUUGGGGAGGCCUGCACUGAAGCACGGCAAGGAAGAACGAAGCUAUUCCUAGAUUAGGCUGGACAGAAACUGAGCAGGCACUCAAGAAUAAAGGACAGGCAUAUUCACAGUGAGUGUGCAGAGGGUACCUGCAGAUGCCCAGCUGCUUAUCAAACUGGUGAAUAGGCUGCAGGUCCCACAGGUGGGCAUAGCUAUUCUGAGGGUGCAAUUGAUUAGUCUCAUCUCCCCUUCCUCAUCUUUACCUCAGAUGGGUCUAUUAAAAUACAUGGCAUUUCCUUACAAGAGUUGGCGAACGCUGUUGACCAGUCCGCCUCUCAUCUUCACCCUUACUGUGAAUGGAUCUGUUAAAAACACAGACCGUUCCUCACAAGGGCUGGCAUAGAUGUGGAGAAAUGAACUCUUAGGUGUUACAGGUUGGAAAGUAAGAUGGUUCGGCUGCUGUGAAGAAUGCUGUAUGACAAUCAACAUGUUUACUGUGGACCUACCACAGGACCAGUCACUCUCUCUGUGGAUGUUACAGCCAUGGCAUAGAAGUGCUGUUUCUAACAGCCAAAAGCCAAGAGCCAGGCAAGUGACUGCCAAUGUACAAAAGAUGGUAGGUAACCACAAUAAAAUAUUCUCCAGCCUUAAUGGGGGAAGGAUGUUCUUGCAUGCACAAUAGUAUAGCUGAAUCAAUCCUAAGGCACUAUGCUAAGUGAAAUAAGCCAGACACCAAUGGGUACACAGGGUACCAUCAAUACCUUCUGUCAUAUCUUAGGUCAAAGUCAGAGAUAGAAGGAGAAUGCGGUUGCCAGGAGCUGAGGGAAGGGAAACUGGGAAUUCAUGGUUAGUGAAUAGAGAUCCAGCUUGGAAGAUGAAAAUGUUCUGGGGAUGACUACAGAGUAACAUCAAUGUGCUUGAUUCCAUAGAGCUGCACACCCGAAAGCUUUUGAAUGAUGGGGCCGGAGAUGGAGAUGAGAGAUGGCUCAGUAGUGAAAAGUGCUUCCUGCUCCUGCAGAGAACCUGAGUUUGCUUCCCGGCACCCACAAGGCAGCUCACCUUGUAAUUCCAGUUCCCAGGGAACUGGUGCCGUCUCUACAGAUACCAAGCCUACACAGGCUGCACAUAACAUACAUGCAGGCAAACACUUAAACACAUAAAAAUAAAAUAAAAAA